AUUGAACGCUGGCGGCAUGCCUUACACAUGCAAGUCGAACGGUAACGCGGGGCAACCUGGCGACGAGUGGCGAACGGGUGAGUAAUGUAUCGGAACGUGCCCAGUUGUGGGGGAUAACUGCUCGAAAGAGCAGCUAAUACCGCAUACGACCGGAGGGUGAAAGCGGGGGAUCGCAAGACCUCGCGCAAUUGGAGCGGCCGAUAUCAGAUUAGGCAGUUGGUGGGGUAAAGGCCCACCAAGCCAACGAUCUGUAGCUGGUCUGAGAGGACGACCAGCCACACUGGGACUGAGACACGGCCCAGACUCCUACGGGAGGCAGCAGUGGGGAAUUCUGGACAAUGGGCGCAAGCCUGAUCCAGCCAUGCCGCGUGCGGGAAGGAGGCCUUCGGGUUGUAAACCGCUUUUGUCAGGGAAGAAACGCUCUGGGUUAAUACCUCGGGGUAAUGACGGUACCUGAAGAAUAAGCACCGGCUAACUACGUGCCAGCCGCCGCGGUAAUAC
rnacentral:rRNA from 1 species